rnacentral:lncRNA from 1 species
ACAUGGACCUGAGAGCAUUAAACUGGAGCUUCACGCCAAUUAAUAGCCAGAUAAUUACAACCCAUCCCCUCCUACUUGCUGCUGACUUCCCCAUGUAAUUUUCUUUUAAUUUUUGCUUAAUAGGCACGCAGGAAAGAUGAGUUACUCAGUGUGCUGCUUGCAUUUGAUAUGUGGUAGACUCAGCAGACUGAUGCCCUCCAUCCAUCCUGGAUCAAGCUGUGGGUGUGAGCAGCGUGCUGGAGAGGACUGAUGGUGCUUCCCUGCCUGCCAAGGGAUGGAGAAACUUAAGGAAAAUGGAGAGGGGGGGAAAAAAAGGUCAAGGCUGGACAGGAAAGUCAGAAUGUUGGUGUGAGAAGACAAAGGGAGCCUUGCCAGAGGCUCAUCCCACCUCCAUCCAGACCUGCUGAGCUGCUUCCUGAGGAUUCUGAGUGGACAGAAACAGCCCCUGGAACAGCAUUACUGGCCAAGCACAGAAUUCAACUCAUCAUUUCCCCUGACAAAGAAGGCAACGAUUAGGCACGGAAAUAAUUUGGGCUACUGCCUGUGUUGGAGAUAACUCUCCGUAAGAGAUGCUGGCUCGGAUGUUUCUUUCUCUCCAUCCACAGUUUGGAAGGUCUGAAAGAGCUUUUGGCAUUUUGGAAAUGCCCAGAUCCACGCUGGAGCAGCUGGUGGGGGAAGAUCCUUGCAUUCCACUCACCCAUCCCUGGCAACCUCCUUCCCUGGGAUUAAGCAGGAGUGGAAACGCAGCCACCCUCACUUGGCAGGCUGAGGCAGGAGCGGAGGUGAGGAAUGCCCUCACUCUUGUUCCCACCUUUCCCCCUGCUCUCCUGCUUAUCCACAGGGAUGCAUUUUCUGCUGGCCCUGCAGACUCAUGUGGGAAGAGCCAUGCAAAGGGCUUGGGAGUUGUCCUUGCUUUAAAAAUUGGUUUUGCAGGAAUUCCCUCUGGCCAAAGUGCCCUUGCUAGAGCAGAUCCUUGGUGGUGCUCCGUGAGAAACUCCCCGAGAGAUCUCUGCCUUUACCUCCUUUCCAUGACUUAUGAUCCUCCUCCUGUCAUCCCCCUGCUCCACACGGUGAGGAAAUUAUU